rnacentral:rRNA from 1 species
AGUGAACGCUGGCGGUAUGCCUAACACAUGCAAGUCGAACGGGAGCACAGUAAGAGCUUGCUCUUACGUGUGGCGAGUGUCGGACGGUUGAGGAAUACAUCGGAUUCUACCUUUUCGUGGGGGAUAAUGUAGGGUAACUUACUCUAAUACCACAUUCGUCCUACUUGUGUAGGCCGGCGUUCUUUUAACCUGUGGCUAUUGAAUAAGCCUAUGUUGGAUUAGCUAGUUGGCUGGUUAAAGGCCCACCAAGGCGACAAUCCGUAGCUGGUCUGGGAGGAUGAUCAGCCACACUGGGACUGAGACACGACCCAGACUCCUGCGGGAUGCAGCAGUGGGGAAUAUUGGACAAUGGGCGAAAGCCUGAUCCAGCAAUGCCGCGUGAGUGAUGAAGGCCUUAGAGUUGUAAAGCUCUUUUACCCGAGAUGAUAAUGACAGUACCGGGAGAAUAAGCACCGGCUAACUCCGUG